rnacentral:rRNA from 1 species
GCUGGAGACACUAUUAGACUUGAGACCGGGAGAGGUUAGAGGUACUCCCAGGGUAGAGGUGAAAUUCUGUAAUCCUGGGAGGACCGCCUGUUGCGAAGGCGUCUAACUGGAACGGUUCUGACGGUGAGGGACGAAAGUUAGGGGCGCGAACCGGAUUAGAUACCCGGGUAGUCCUAACUGUAAACGAUGCGGACUUGGUGUUGGGUGGCUUUGAGCUGCUCCAGUGCCGAAGGGAAGCUGUUAAGUCCGCCGCCUGGGAAGUACGGUCGCAAGACUGAAACUUAAGGAAUUGGCGGGGGAGCACCACAACGCGUGGAGCCUGCCGGUUUAAUUGGAUUCAACGCCGGACAUCUCACCAGAGGCGACAGCUGUAUGAUAGCCAGGUUGAUGACUUUGCUUGACUAGCUGAGUGGAGGUGCAUGG